UGCUGCUGGCACACACACACACUAUAUAAAUGUGGGAUGUAACUGUGACGUAUCUCUGCACUGAACACAGCUUCUGUGGAAAGUUUAUGCAAAUCUUUAUCCCCUCUUGUAAUAUUAACAGCGUGAAUAUGUAGAGAGGAAGAUCUUCUCAUUAUUCCUCCUUCAGCACAAACAUGUUGUCUUCAGUUCCGUUGCUUCUUCUGGCUCUCGUCCCCUAUGUGUUCUGUGCUACUGAGCUCAUCCAGCCAGACUCAGUGCUUCUAAAGCCAGGAGAGACUUUAUCCAUCACCUGUAGAGUGUCUGGAGCUUCUAUCACUGAUAGCAGCAAUCACUUUGGAACAGCUUGGAUUCGACAACCUGCAGGAAAAGCUCUGGAGUGGAUUGGGUACAUGGGUUGGAAUGGGAACACAGCUUACAGUGACAAACUGAAAAAUAAGUUCAGCAUCUCCAGAGACACGUCUACUAACACAAUAACAAUUCGAGGACAGAACAUGCAGACUGAAGACACAGCUGUGUAUUACUGCGCUCGGAGACACAGUGAGACACAUCACCAACAUCCCUGUACAAAAACAUCCUGUACAGAAAACUGUUCAUCAGCAAAUGCAGAAUGAGUAAACAGGACUUUUAUUCUUCAAGUGAACUGUACCUGCAUCUGAUGAUCUUUCCUAAACCACCACACAUACAAUACAUUUUGUUCCUUUUACGUCACA